rnacentral:lncRNA from 1 species
AUAAUCAACCCGGCCCAAACCCACAAGGGAAAUACUUGUCUUCUUCCUCCUCUCCCUUCUGGUUUAUCUCCAAAGAAGGAAACGAGAUCUUCAGGAAAGUUGAAAUCUUACGUACCAGAAGUGAAAGAAGAUGAUUUACAGAAAGUGGAGUCUUCUCACCGGUCCGACGGCCAUAAUCGGAGGCAUCGUCGGCGCCACCAUCGUCGCCAACUACCUUUUCAUCCAGAACGUAAUACUCCCUCCCCUUUCGCUCUUUCCGUUUCUACCAAUCCCUAGCUUUUUCCUCUAAUUCCUCAAUCGCUUACGUUAAAAAGAAAAACAUCAAUUGAGAUUUUUUCCUAUUACUGCUCUAUCAGUUUCUGUGAUUGAUAUUUUCAUUUUUUGUACGGUCUAUUGGGAGUUGGGGGUUUGGGAUUGAUUCGUUUCUAAUACGUUGCGAUUGCUCUGAAACUUUGUAGGAUUGGCUUUUCAAACGAGACCAGAAGAACCAGCCAUCUUCAUCAUCAUCUUCAAAAUAAAGAUGGGACGAUUGAAGGUCUUGUUCAGUUGUUAAGUUGUUUAAUAAUCUUCCUUGUACGUUCUUCUUUUGUUGACUGUGAAUAACAUGAAUAUGGUCACAGAUGAUAAUAAUCUGAGAUGUAAUUUGCUCUUUCUAUGAUAAAUUCAAUUGCUGAGGUUGAUUUCAACUGACAAAUUAACAUCAAUGUCAUCUAUAGCCAUUUACAAUCAUCUGCAUCACCAAAUCAUUCCAUGAAUCUAUCGGCCCUGGCAAGCACCAAUGCAAGCAAUCAUUUUGAACUUUCUCAUCUUUGUUUG